CUGUCCCGAUCUCCGGCAGAAGGCCGACGGCGGGGGGUUUUGAAUCCUCCUGCAGCCUAAGGAUCAGCGGUGGGCGCUUCUCGAUUAGAUCAUCCCCCAUCGCCCCCGUUUUCUUCUUCCUCACCGCUUGCAAUUACCUGGUUCGGCCAUUUUCCGUCAUUUUUCUGCUUUAAGGUACGCAUCCUUCGGGCCUCUCACCGUCUCGAUUUCAAUUUUAUAUCUCUUGAGUAACAGAUGAGAUGUUGGCCGUGGCGUUGGUGUGACAACCCUGGCAUGGAGGAACGAGGUUUGAAUUCCCAUAUGACACUUAAGAGCUCGGCAGCAAUUGUAGUCCAUGAUCCAGUGAGACGUCUCCAGGGGGCACAAAGGGAUCCGUAUCCAUUCCGGAUUUACUAAUCGCUGAGAAAAUGACCGGAGCUCAGAGCGAUCCUAUGCAUUGGACGAUUGCUGCAUAUGAUAUAGUUCACUCAGAAGAAUAGAGGAAGAAAACGGGGAUAUAGUUUCAAGGAUCAAAUUACGAUCCGUUUAUAGAAACUUCAAUUAGCUAACUAAAUGUAGGGAUGCUAUUCAACACAGUACAUUUGUGAGUGUCAUCAAGAGAUUCUCAC
rnacentral:lncRNA from 1 species